UGAGUAAUAUAUCGGAACGUGCCCAGUCGUGGGGGAGUAACGUAAGCGAAAGACUACGCUAAUACCGCAUACUAUCUAUGGAUGAAAGCGGGGGAUCGCAAGACCUCGCGCGAUUGGAGCGGCCGAUAUCAGAUUAGGUAGUUGGUGAGGUAAAGGCUCACCAAGCCGACGAUCUGUAGCUGGUCUGAGAGGACGACCAGCCACACUGGGACUGAGACACGGCCCAGACUCCUACGGGAGGCAGCAGUGGGGAAUUUUGGACAAUGGGCGCAAGCCUGAUCCAGCAAUGCCGCGUGCAGGAUGAAGGCCUUCGGGUUGUAAACUGCUUUGUACGGAACGAAACGGUGAGCUCUAAUACAGUUUGCUAAUGACGGUACCGUAAGAAUAAGCACCGGCUAACUACGUG
rnacentral:rRNA from 1 species